UGGAAGAUGCUCCAGUGGAAGGUAUUAA
rnacentral:piRNA from 1 species